AACGAACGCUGGCGGCAGGCUUAACACAUGCAAGUCGAACGCCCCGCAAGGGGAGUGGCAGACGGGUGAGUAACGCGUGGGAAUCUACCCAGUUCUACGGAACAACUGAGGGAAACUUCAGCUAAUACCGUAUACGCCCUACGGGGGAAAGAUUUAUCGGAAUUGGAUGAGCCCGCGUAAGAUUAGCUAGUUGGUGAGGUAAUGGCUCACCAAGGCGACGAUCUUUAGCUGGUCUGAGAGGAUGAUCAGCCACACUGGGACUGAGACACGGCCCAGACUCCUACGGGAGGCAGCAGUGGGGAAUAUUGGACAAUGGGCGCAAGCCUGAUCCAGCCAUGCCGCGUGAGUGAUGAAGGCCUUAGGGUUGUAAAGCUCUUUCGCCAGGGACGAUAAUGACGGUACCUGGAUAAGAAGCCCCGGCUAACUUCGUGCCAGCCGCCGCGGUAACAC
rnacentral:rRNA from 1 species